rnacentral:rRNA from 1 species
CCUACGGGAGGCAGCAGUGAGGAAUAUUGGUCAAUGGGCGGGAGCCUGAACCAGCCAAGCCGCGUGAGGGAAGAAGGUACAGCGUAUCGUAAACCUCUUUUGUCAGGGAACAAAGGCGGGGACUAGUCCCCGGAUGAGGGUACCUGAAGAAAAAGCAUCGGCUAACUCCGUGCCAGCAGCCGCGGUAAUACGGAGGAUGCGAGCGUUAUCCGGAUUUAUUGGGUUUAAAGGGUGCGCAGGGGGCCUGUUAAGUCAGCGGUAAAAUCCCGGGGCUCAACCCCGGCGAGCCGUUGAAACUGGCAGGCUGGAGUUGGAGAGAAGGACGCGGAAUGUGCGGUGUAGCGGUGAAAUGCUUAGAUAUCGCGCAGAACCCCGAUUGCGAAGGCAGCGUACCGGCUCCACACUGACGCUGAGGCACGAAAGCGUGGGUAUCGAACAGGAUUAGAUACCCGGGUAGUC